rnacentral:lncRNA from 1 species
UAGCCUCAGCAGAGCCUGAGCCAGCCCUGGUGUGACGGGAUAGUUGUGGAGGCAACUCCGGGGCCUUGGCUGGGAUGGCCCAGGGGCUCUGCCUGGGAACUAUCCACCCUAAGCAGCAUGCUCCUGGUAAUGUGGAGUCUGAGUGACUGAGACACAGCUGCCCAGGGCGAUGGGAGGGGCAUGCUGGCUUAGACCAGACCUGGAUCUCAUCUGGGGACCGAAGGCUGCAGGAGCCCCAGGAGGGCUGUGAUGUCCUGGAAGCUUUUAAACUGGGAUCAGAACGGAGGAGGUUAGAAAGGAGAGGAAUUGCUUGCAGAGCUCCCCAGGUGCAGAGGCCUUCCUGUUCCUGGUAUUUCCACACUGGAGUCAGCACCUUCUGCCCAAAGCCCUUUCUAUCCUUAUAAGCCCGGCCUCCUCUCUGUUCCACAAAUCUUGCUAGAGACUGGCUUCCCUGGACAGCGUUCCUUCCCACGGCAACACCACCUUGAUCCCCAGCAGGCCGCUCCGGCUGGGCCCUGUGACAAAGGAAUUCAUAAAAUAGGAGGAAGAUAAACUUGAUACCACGCAGGUUACUUUGGUUCUCCAAAUGAAGAAAUGUGAAAAUGUAAAAGUCGGGUGACAGAUACAGUGGCCUUUUGUGGGAAGACAGAGAUGUAAUUCUCAGCACACCUAAAUCGAUCACCUCGGAAAAUACGUUCAGACUCAGCGGCGAUCUGCCGGCGCAGGGACGCGAGCUGUGGGAAGGUUUUUGAGAGUAGAUUACCGGGACCGCUGGGAUGGAUAACUUUAAGCUGCCUCCCAUCAUAUGUUGAUACUUAUUGCACUGUGUUUUCUAGGAAACACCAGGCAAGCAAAGAGAGGUAAAAACACUUAAAUGCUCGAAGAAAGUAAGUCAGAAAAUAACAUCUGUAGAUACAGGAGAGCCUGGGCUUUGAAGACGUGCAUUUGAAUUUUGAAUCGGCUACUUUCUGAAAGACUCGUUUUUGUUUUUGUUUGGUUUUUUGUUUGUUUGUUUUUUCACUUUAAGUUCUGGGAUACAUGUGCAGAACGU